ACGUGUGCUCUUCCGCUUACUGGGUUCCUUGUCAAAGCUUCAUGAAUUUAAUGUUUCUCUUUUUGUUUUUAUCAAGAAAUUGAGAUGAUGGUAAUUUCA